GUAUGGGGGGGCAGUGUGUGUGUAUGGGAGGGAAGUAUGUGUCUAUGGGGGCAGUGUGUGUGUAUGGACAUAGCAGUGUGUGUGUAUGUAUGGACUCACACACUCUACACACACACACUGCCCCCCAUAGACACACACUACCCCCCAUACACACACAUUGCCCCCCCAUACACACACACUGCCCCCCAUACUGCCCCCAUACACACACAUUGCCCCCCAUACUGCUCCCCCAUACACACACAUUGCCCCCCAUAC